UCCCCAAUAGCUUAGCUGGUAGAGCAUGAGACUCUUAAUCUGAGGGUCAUGAGUUCAAACUCCACGUUGGGCAA